rnacentral:lncRNA from 1 species
GGGAGUAAGGUUUAAUUGUUGCACAAACACUGUUGCAGACCAAUUGCAACCAGGGCCGUGCAACUCCAAUAACCUUCCCCAGAAUAGGGCAAUGCAUCCAGUUCUGCACUUUUAAUUCUGAGGCACCGUGGAACGGAGAUGUCUUCUUUCUUUCUGAUGUGAUGGUAUUGUGGAGAAGUGAGUGGGUGGCGGAAUUAGCGGACAGCGCACGAGGAGUGGAAACUG